rnacentral:rRNA from 1 species
UACAGGGGGUGCGAGCGUUAAUCGGAAUUACUGGGCGUAAAGGGCGCGUAGGCGGUCGAGUAAGUCGGAUGUGAAAUCCCCGGGCUUAACCUGGGAAUUGCAUUCGAUACUGCUUGGCUAGAGUGUGGAGGAGGGAAGCGGAAUUUCCGGUGUAGCGGUGAAAUGCGUAGAUAUCGGAAGGAACACCAGUGGCGAAGGCGGCUUCCUGGUCCAACACUGACGCUGAGGCGCGAAAGCGUGGGGAGCAAACAGG